ensembl:lncRNA
AAAUGACGUAGGACGCGAAUGUUCAAGAACCGUCGUACGUCAUUUGACGCGUCGUCUGUUGCUAUUCGAUUAAACAAUUAAAUACAAUACAAACAUGAAGUAAAAAAAAGUGUUAUCUAGCGAUCCGUUAUCUGUAUUAUGUUAUUUCGUCUUUUGGAAACAUGAGCCGAAUGUUUUUUGCAACCUGCCCGGUAACAGACGAUCGCGUCGUCUGUUGCCAGGCAGGUUGUCAAGAUGUAAACAACUGAUGACGUAGGCCGGUACAAUUUUCGCCCCCGGUACAAUUUUAACGUGACACCGUCACAUUAUGCGACUAUUGACUAUAAAUAAGAUUGCGACGAUCCCAAGGUUAUUUCGCUUCUCAACUCCAAUAGGUCCCUUCAUCAUUUAUUUUAAAAUUUCAGCUUCGUUUCAAAGUAAAAACAAGGGCACUUUUAAGAGCCACGUUUGUCUAGUAGUUAAUUGUUGUCAGUCUCUCAGGUUCCCUGUGGUUCUUUCUCUUUCGCUCUUCCCCCAUCCCCCCCCCCUCCCCCUCCUUCCCCCUUCCCCCUUCCCCUUUAUUGGUGUUUUGUCAUUGUGUUGUCUUGUGUGUCUUGUUCAUCAUGAGUGACUGCUCCAAUGUCGAGCAGCUCGUUAAGGAGCUUGAUGAGCUUGUUGAUCAUUCUAAAUUAAAUGAUGAACUCCAGACCUUGGAAGGUUUCAUCAAUAAGAUGGAGGUAGAACGGGAGGCAGCACUAUCCACCAGCCAUCAACCGGUCCAGGAGGCCCCACCAUCCACCAGCCAUCAACCAGUCAUGUGGCUGAAGAGGGACAGUGAUGGAAAUGUUGUCUAUGACAGACCAAGAUCAUGCCGAAACCAAAUGGCUAGUCACAGCUACAGUCGCAAGACUGGUGCUCGUACUACAAUGUUGGAAAGCAGCGUUGAGAGAACCAACUACUGUCCUCCUGACACUGUUGAGUCUUUCCUUGAAGAGCUAAACUACUCACAGGAUGAUGACAUGGAUGAUCAGGAAACAGCACCAGCACCACCACGAGCUUCCUUAGACUGGUCUACUCGAAGGAGUCUCCUCUCAGAGAGGUGGGCGAAAGAGAGACCCCGGCUGGUGAAUACCAUGGUGGCACAACAAAAUGCGGAAACUGGGAUCUGCCAACAGUGUGGCAGCAGUCCAGCUGCUGUCCGUUGUCGUGACUGCCGACCUCACCCACUCUUAUGUGCUGAGUGUGAUGUCAGUUUACACAGAAACCAGGUGUUCCACAACAGGGAUGCAACAAUAGCUGGAUUCUUUCAGCCAUUGCCUCCAACAACCUGUGUCGUGGACAGGGUUCUUUCCCAGUGUGUGUGUAUUUUGCCGUUGGAGAUGCCCGAGAAAAUUUGUACUUGUUCUCCGGGAACGUUGAGUGUCAACCCAGGAAAAGUUGUUGCUGUGGUUACAAUAAAUGGACGAUAUGAUCUCUCUAUGCCUGAGAUGAAAUGCGAGGCAUGCAAAGCCACUUGGAGUGCUGGAGUCGAUGACUUGGUCCGUAAUGACUACUGGCCUGCGACCCUUCACUUCUCCACGGUGUACUCUACCGAUGUGUUGCAUUCAUACGAAGAGUUGAAGAUGGCAGCACCAGGACUUUCCUGUCAAGCCUUUUUGCGAAUGCUUGAUCAACGAACUGUCCGCUUCGGCCGUACUGGGAAGAUCACAGCAGACAGCUUCAGAAAAAGCUUUUUGGAGUGGGAGGCUGUUAGAUUUGAGGUCGACAAGAUAUGCAGGGAGGAGCCUUUUGUCUGUCCUGCAUGCACCCCAGACAUGCUUGCCGUUUCAGUGGACGGAAAUCGCAAGCACUACCGCUUUAAGAAUGCAGCAAGAUCUGAGGAGCAAGCCUUGUUUGAUGGCAUCUUCAUUGCUAAAGAUGAUGAAGUAGAGAGAUUUGUGGAUUACAUUCAUUCUACCACCAACCAUGUCUCUGGAAGAGGUGUCUGUGGAGGGGAGUGGUCAGCAGCCAGAGAAACAUCUCAGAGAUCCAGGAGUAAAAUUGAUGAGGAGGGACUUGAGCUUGCGGUGUGUCGACAUGGAGUUUUUCUCAGCGCUCUCAACAUGUUCAGGGGAGAAAUCUACGCGUAUCCCCUCUACCUGCAGAACAAGCUGGCAAAUAAGCCAAUAACCUUUUUUGCCAUGGAUGUUACAUGCAAGUACUGGCCCUACCUCAACAAAGUGGCAAAAAGCUGCCCGGAGCUCCAGCACCUUCUUGACAUGAAGCCAUUCCUGUCAGUGUUUCAUGCUAAAGCCCAUGACUUUAAAUGCGAGGUUAAAUGGAGUGGAGCUUACCAGCAAGGGGCUGGAUUGACACUUGGGGAGGAGGUUGAGCAGUGCAACGCCUUCCUCUCUAGGAUUGCUGUUACGACAAAACAUAUGUCCAAAGCAGGUCGUACAGACAUGCUUACACUGAUGGCCAUGCGCUGGAAUCAGCAGAAGUUUAAUAACUUGGACACUUCACUUGCCCGCCGAUAUCAGAAGGCCACAAAAGGCCUGGAAAGCCGGCUUCAGGACCUGGAGGUCAUGAGAGUCCAACUGGCAGUGACACAGGUUGAAGUUGAGGGCUGGGUCACUGACGUAAAAGAGUGGGCAGAAGCAACAACAUCCCAAAAGAAUGCAGAUCUGGACGCGGUGACUAGUAGAUUGGAGGUGCUGGUGGCCAGCAUUAAAAGAAGGUCCCAGCGCCUUUACAAAGACACCGAUGGCAGCAAAGGUCGGGCCCGGAUGCGGCGCAAAAUCAGAGAGGAGAAGGCCAUUCUUGGCUCUGUUGCUGACAAAUACAACAGCAUGGUUCCAGAUGCAGAGAGAAUCACCUUUGACAGCAUUCUCUCUGAGGAGACAGUUUGGCCGUGGCAACUUUCCCA